ensembl:lncRNA
AGAUAGAUAGAUAGAUAGAUAGAUAGAUAGAUAAAUAGAUAGAUAGAUAGAUAAAUAGAUAGAUAGACGUUUGUAGUUUCGUUUAAAAACCCUUACUUAUUUGUUUUAAUAACCAUAGUUUGUGCUCAGAGUGUGUCUUUCAUGUAGUCUACGUAGUGCGCUCGGAAUGUGUGUAGACCUGUUUUAUAGUUUAUAGUGUAGACGCAGGCUACGUGAGCGCGUAGUGGGCGGAGUUUCUCCGCAAGCCCCGCCCCACGCUCCGCCGAACACAAACUUCUUUUCUUUCUCAGCUCAGAGGCGCAGAAGUCAGUCACGCAGCGUGACGUAACGCAGGAGCCGCGCUUUCACUCUCGUGUCUGUGCGCUGGAGAGGGUUCUGCUGUGUCGUGAGCUCUCCUCCGCGCGUGUGAGAGUGUUUUGUGAGUGUGUGAGUGUGUGUGUGUGUGAGUGAGCUGCAGUCAUGGCUGUGGACGGAACAGACCAGCGCGCGCUGCAGUAUGAGCAAACUUUGACCUGUCAGAGUGACCCGAGACUCAGAAGGAAUUUCUGCUCGAUUACGUUCAGAGGCUUUAGAGUUAUUGUUGUGUAAUUGUGUUUUUUGUUCUUUUUGUAUUGUUUUGGUUCAGAGUAUGUUCUUGUUCCUUGAGCUUUUAUGUG